ACCUGUCUGUUGAAUAUUUCAUUGAAUCUUUCUUUUAAGUGCAUUUCAAUUUCGCCAUAUUGAUACAUAGUGUAGAGAUAUUUUUGAAUUAGAUAAAUAGGCCAUUUUUAGGUGGUCAGUCUUUUUCUUUACCAUUUACCAAGUAUUUUGCUUUUGCCACAUGUGUUGUUUUGUACUGUAGGAAAUUAAACAAGGUGUUGAAUACAACACUGGAAAGUUUUGUAUUAUCUUUCUGUUGAAUAUUUCAUUGACAAUAUAAUUUUAUCAACACUAUGAGCUGCAGUUUCUUACUUUCUUUAUUGUAUUUAUUUGAUUAUUGCUUUUAUGUAUGUCUUUUUAACCCAUAUGGAAAAUACAAUUCACCCUUGUAAGAGUGAGAAUUAUUACAUUAAUACAAUUUAAAUUCAUAAAUGAUUGUUUAAUGGUUUUUUUUUUUACUUUAUUAAUGAUUAUCCAUUAAAUAUAAUGUCUCAGAAUAACAUUACUGGUGUUUCAUUAACCUUAAGGUACAAUGGGAUUUGCAACUGCAUAUUACAGAGUAACUUACUUUUGCCACAUGUGUUGUUUUGCUCUGUAGGAUAUUAAACAAGGUGUUGAAUACAACACUCGAAAAUUUUAUAUUACCUGUCUGUUGAAUAUUUCAUUGAAUUUAUCUUUUUAGUGCAUUUAAAUUUCGCCA